rnacentral:tRNA from 1 species
UGAUGAAUGGCUUAAUGGUUACGUUCUCUGCUUCCAAACCUGAAGUCCCGGGUUCGAGUCACGGUUGGCUUU